CAGCAGUCGCCGCGGGAAUACGUAGGUGGCAAGCGUUGUCCGGAAUUAUUGGGCGUAAAGGGCUCGCAGGCGGUUCCUUAAGUCUGAUGUGAAAGCCCCCGGCUCAACCGGGGAGGGUCAUUGGAAACUGGGAAACUUGAGUGCAGAAGAGGAGAGUGGAAUUCUACGUGUGGCGGUGAAAUGCGUAGAGAUGUGGAGGAACACCAGUGGCGAAGGCGACUCUCUGGUCUGUAACUGACGCUGAGGAGCGAAAGCGUGGGGAGCGAACAGGAUUAGAUACCCCAGUAGUCCCUGUCUCUUAUAC
rnacentral:rRNA from 1 species